UGUCGGCUCUUCCUAUCAUUGU
rnacentral:snRNA from 1 species